rnacentral:rRNA from 1 species
UACGUAGGAGGCGAGCGUUGUCCGGAAUCACUGGGUGUAAAGCGCGUGUAGGCGGCCUGCCAAGUCUGCUGUGAAAGCGCCUGGCUUAACCGGGCGAGGUCGGUGGAAACUGGCGGGCUGGAGGUCGGUAGAGGGGGGUGGAAUUCCCGGUGUAGUGGUGAAAUGCGUAGAGAGUCGGGAGGAACACCAGUGGCGAAGGCCGGCCCCCUGGGCCGUACCGUGACGCUGAGACGCGAAAGCGCGGGGAGCGAACGGG